rnacentral:tRNA from 1 species
GCCAGUUUGGUCUAGUGCUGAAGGCACCUGGUUAGAAACCAGGUAAUGGUGAGUUCUAGUCUUGCCUUAGGCA